rnacentral:rRNA from 1 species
AUCGAUGAAGAACGCAGCGAAAUGCGAUAAGUAAUGUGAAUUGCAGAAUUCAGUGAAUCAUCGAAUCUUUGAACGCACAUUGCGCCCCUUGGUAUUCCGGGGGGCAUGCCUGUUCGAGCGUCAUUUCAACCCUCAAGCUCUGCUUGGUCUUGGGCAUCGCCGGCAACGGCGGGCCUCAAAAACAGUGGCGGUGCCAUCGUGCUCUCAGCGUAGUAAUUCUUCUCGCUGUUGGGUUCCGGUGGACGCUGGCCAGCAACCCCCAAUUUUCUAUGGUUGACCUCGGAUCAGGUAGGGAUACCCGCUGAACUUAAGCAUAUCAAUAAGCGGAGGAAAAGAAACCAACAGGGAUUGCCUCAGUAACGGCGAGUGAAGCGGCAACAGCUCAAAUUUGAAAUCUGGCUCUUUCAGGGUCCGAGUUGUAAUUUGUAGAAGAUGCUUCGGGUGUGGCUCCGGUCUAAGUUCCUUGGAACAGGACGUCAUAGAGGGUGAGAAUCCCGUAUGUGACUGGCUGCCUCCGCCCAUGUGAAGCUCUUUCGACGAGUCGAGUUGUUUGGGAAUGCAGCUCAAAAUGGGUGGUAAAUUUCAUCUAAAGCUAAAUAUUGGCCAGAGACCGAUAGCGCACAAGUAGAGUGAUCGAAAGAUGAAAAGCACUUUGGAAAGAGAGUUAAACAGUACGUGAAAUUGUUGAAAGGGAAGCGCUUGCAAUCAGACUUGCGCGCGGCCGAUCAUCCGGGGUUCUCCCCGGUGCACUCGGCCGUGCUCAGGCCAGCAUCGGUUUCGGUGGUGGGAUAAAGGCCUUGGGAAUGUGGCUCCUCUCGGGGAGUGUUAUAGCCCUCGGUGCAAUGCCGCCUAUCGGGACCGAGGACCGCGCUUCGGCUAGGAUGCUGGCGUAAUGGUUGCAAGCGACCCGUCUUGAAACACGG